rnacentral:rRNA from 1 species
UACGUAGGGUGCGAGCGUUGUCCGGAAUUAUUGGGCGUAAAGAGCUCGUAGGCGGUCUGUCGCGUCGAUCGUGAAAACUUGGGGGCUUAACCCUGAGCUUGCGGUCGAUACGGGCAUGACUGGAGUUCGGCAGGGGAGACUGGAAUCCUGGUGUAGCGGUGAAAUGCGCAGAUAUCAGAGGAACACCGGUGGCGAAGGCGGGUCUCUGGGCCGAUACUGACGCUGAGGACGAAAGCGUGGGGAGCGAACAGG